rnacentral:rRNA from 1 species
AGAGUUUGAUCCUGGCUCAGAACGUACGCUGGCGGCACGCCUUAUACAUGCAAGUCGAACGGAGUAGCAAUACUUAGUGGCAGACGGGUGAGUAACAUGUGGGUAUCUUCCCUUUGGUGAGGAAUAACACGAGGAAACUUGUGCUAAUACCUCAUAAGUCUUUACGGAGAAAGCUUUAUGCGCCGAUGGAUGAGCCCGCACUUGAUUAGUUUGUUGGUAGGGUAAUGGCCUACCAAGACGGUGAUCAAUAGCUGAUCUGAGAGGAUGAUCAGCCACAUUGGGACUGAGACACGGCCCAAACUCCUACGGGAGGCAGCAGUAGGGAAUAUUGCACAAUGGAGGAAACUCUGAUGCAGCGAUGCCGCGUGAGUGAAGAAGGCCCUUGGGUUGUAAAGCUCUUUCGUCGGGGAAGAAAAUGACUGUACCCGAAUAAGAAGGUCCGGCUAACUUCGUGCCAGCAGCCGCGGUAAUACGAAGGGACCUAGCGUAGUUCGGAAUUACUGGGCUUAAAGAGUUCGUAGGUGGUUAAAAAAGUUGGUGGUGAAAUCCCAGAGCUUAACUCUGGAACUGCCAUCAAAACUUUUUAGCUAGAGUAUGAUAGAGGAAAGCAGAAUUUCUAGUGUAGAGGUGAAAUUCGUAGAUAUUAGAAAGAAUACCGAUUGCGAAGGCAGCUUUCUGGAUCAUUACUGACACUGAGGAACGAAAGCAUGGGUAGCGAAGAGGAUUAGAUACCCUCGUAGUCCAUGCUGUAAACGAUGUGUGUUAGACGUUGGAAAUUUAUUUUCAGUGUCGCAGCGAAAGCAAUAAACACACCGCCUGGGGAGUACGACCGCAAGGUUAAAACUCAAAUGAAUUGACGGGGACCCGCACAAGUAGUGGAGCAUGUGGUUUAAUUCGAAGAUACGCGCAGAACCUUACCAACACUUGACAUGUUCGUCGCGACUCUAAGAGAUUAGAGUUUUCGGUUCGGCCGGACGAAACACAGGUGCUGCAUGGCUGUCGUCAGCUCGUGUCGUGAGAUGUUGGGUUAAGUCCCGCAACGAGCGCAACCCUCACUUUUAGUUGCCAUCAUUUAGUUGGGCACUCUGAAAGAACUGCCAGUGAUAAGCUGGAGGAAGGUGGGGAUGACGUCAAGUCCUCAUGGCCCUUACGUGUUGGGCUACACACGUGCUACAAUGGCAUUGACAAUAGGAAGCAAGACGGCGACGUCAAGCAAAUCCUAAAAAGAUGCCUCAGUUCGGAUUGUACUCUGCAACUCGAGUACAUGAAGCUGGAAUUACUAGUAAUCGCGGAUCAGCGCGCCGCGGUGAAUACGUUCCCGGGUCUUGUACACACCGCCCGUCACACCAUGGGAGUUGGUUCUACCUUAAGGCAAAGCUUAAAACCUUUGACCACGGUAUAGUCAGCGACUGGGGUGAAGUCGUAACAAGGUAACC